rnacentral:rRNA from 1 species
UGGGGAAUUUUGGACAAUGGGCGAAAGCCUGAUCCAGCAAUGCCGCGUGUGUGAAGAAGGCCUUCGGGUUGUAAAGCACUUUUGUCCGGAAAGAAAUCCUUGGCUCUAAUACAGUCGGGGGAUGACGGUACCGGAAGAAUAAGCACCGGCUAACUACGUGCCAGCAGCCGCGGUAAUACGUAGGGUGCAAGCGUUAAUCGGAAUUACUGGGCGUAAAGCGUGCGCAGGCGGUUUGCUAAGACCGAUGUGAAAUCCCCGGGCUCAACCUGGGAACUGCAUUGGUGACUGGCAGGCUAGAGUAUGGCAGAGGGGGGUAGAAUUCCACGUGUAGCAGUGAAAUGCGUAGAGAUGUGGAGGAAUACCGAUGGCGAAGGCAGCCCCCUGGGCCAAUACUGACGCUCAUGCACGAAAAGCGUGGGGAGCAAAACAGGAUUAGAUACCCUGGUAGUCCACGCCCUAAAACGAUGUCAACUAGUUGUUGGGGAUUCAUUUCCUUAGUAACGUAGCUAACGCGUGAAGUUGACCGCCUGGGGAGUACGGUCGCAAAGAUUAAAAACUUAAAUGAAUUGAACGGGGUCAUAGCUGUUUCCU